CCUACGGGGGGCUGCAGUGGGGAAUAUUGCACAAUGGGCGAAAGCCUGAUCCAGCCAUGCCGCGUGUGUGAAGAAGGCCUUCGGGUUGUAAAGCACUUUCAGUGGGGAAGAAAGCCUUGGGGCUAAUACCCUCGAGGAAGGACAUCACCCACAGAAGAAGCACCGGCUAACUCCGUGCCAGCAGCCGCGGUAAUACGGAGGGUGCGAGCGUUAAUCGGAAUUACUGGGCGUAAAGCGCGCGUAGGCGGUCUGAUAAGCCGGUUGUGAAAGCCCCGGGCUCAACCUGGGAACGGCAUCCGGAACUGUCAGGCUAGAGUGCAGGAGAGGAAGAUAGAAUUCCCGGUGUAGCGGUGAAAUGCGUAGAGAUCGGGAGGAAUACCAGUGGCGAAGGCGGCCUUCUGGACUGGCACUGACGCUGAGGUGCGAAAGCGUGGGUAGCAAACAGGAUUAGAUACCCUGGUAGUC
rnacentral:rRNA from 1 species